GUUCCUACGGGGCGCAGCAGUGGGGAAUAUUGGACAAUGGGGGAAACCCUGAUCCAGCGACGCCGCGUGAGUGAAGAAGUAUUUCGGUAUGUAAAGCUCUAUCAGCAGGGAAGAAAAUGACGGUACCUGACUAAGAAGCCCUGGCUAACUACGUGCCAGCAGCCGCGGUAAUACGUAGGUGGCAAGCGUUGUCCGGAAUUACUGGGUGUAAAGGGAGCGUAGGCGGGAAGCCAAGUCAGCUGUGAAAACUACGGGCUUAACCUGUAGACUGCAGUUGAAACUGACUUUCUUGAGUGAAGUAGAGG
rnacentral:rRNA from 1 species